rnacentral:rRNA from 1 species
UACGUAGGGGGCAAGCGUUGUCCGGAUUUAUUGGGCGUAAAGAGCGUGUAGGCGGCCAAACAGGUCAGCUGUGAAAACUCGAGGCUCAACCUCGAGACGUCGGUUGAAACCGUUUGGCUAGAGUCCGGAAGAGGAGAGUGGAAUUCCCGGUGUAGCGGUGAAAUGCGCAGAUAUCGGGAAGAACACCCGUGGCGAAGGCGGCUCUCUGGGACGGUACUGACACUGAGACGCGAAAGCGUGGGGAGCGAACAGG